CCUGAAUGUCACACGACCUAGAUGAAAUUAUUCUAGGCACAUGACCAGCAGCCCUGGAACACAAGGGACACGCACAUGCUCCCACACCCACACACACAUGCACCCUCACACACGCAUAUACCCUCAUAUAUGCUUGCACACCCUCACACAUGCAUACACCCUCACACACAUGCACCCACACAUGCACCCUCACACACGCAUAUACACUCAGACAUGCUCGCACACCCUCACACAUGCAUAUACCCUGACAUGCUCGCACACCCUCACACACGCAUAUACCCUGACAUGCUCGCACACCCUCACACACGCAUGCACCCACACAGGCACCCUCUCGCAUAUACUGUCACAUAUGCUUGCACACCCUCACACACGCACCCACACAUGCAUACACCCUCACGCGGGCUUGCACACCCUCACGCACGCAUGCACCCACACAUGCACCCUCACACACGCAUAUACCCUCAGACAUGCUCGCACACCCUCACACACGCAUAUACCCUGACAUGCUCGCACACCCUCACACGCAUGCACCCACACAGGCACCCUCACACUCGCAUAUACAGUCACAUAUGCUUGCACACCCUCACACGCACCCACACAUGCGUAUACCCUCACGCGGGCUUGCACACCCUCACGCACGCAUGCACCCACACAUGCACCCUCACACACGCAUAUACCCUCACAUAUGCUUGCACACCCUCACGCAUGCAUGCAUCCUCACACACAUGCACCCACACAUGCAUACACCCUCACAAGGCUCACACACCGUCAUGCACACAUGCACCCUCACAUGCUUGCACACCCUCACAUGUGCAUGCACCCUCACACAUGCUCGCACACCCACACACAUGCUCGCACACCCUCACACAUGCAUGCAUCCUCACACACGCGCACACCCUCACACACAUGCACACACAGCCCUUGCACACCCCCCCAAAGGAUGCACACACACAUCCCUGUGCACACGUGCACUCAUAGCUGCUGCUCUCGAUGGGAUAACUGAGGGCUACAUAUAAUCACA
rnacentral:lncRNA from 1 species